GACGAACGCUGGCGGCGUGCUUAACACAUGCAAGUCGAGCGAUGAAGUUUUUUCGGAAAUGGAUUAGCGGCGAACGGGUGAGGAACACGUGAAGAAUCUGCCCUCCACUUUGGGAUAACACAGGGAAACCUGUGCUAAUACCGAAUAUUGAAACAUAAGUGGCAUCACUGAGUUUUGAAAGAAUUUCGGUGGAGGAUGACUUCGCGGCCCAUCCGCUAGUUGGUGAGGUAAUGGCUCACCAAGGCAACGACGGGUAGCCGGCCUGAGAGGGCGACCGGCCACACGGGGACUGAGACACGGCCCAGACUCCUACGGGAGGCAGCAGUGGGGAAUAUUGGGCAAUGGAGGAAACUCUGACCCAGCGACGCCGCGUGCGGGAUGAAGGCCUUCGGGUUGUAAACCGCUUUCAGUAGGGAAGAAGCGAAAGUGACGGUACCUACAAAAGAAGCACCGGCUAACUAUGUGCCAGCCGCCGCCGUAA
rnacentral:rRNA from 1 species